rnacentral:rRNA from 1 species
AUUGAACGCUGGCGGCAGGCCUAACACAUGCAAGUCGAGCGGAGCGGCGGACGGGUGAGUAAUGCCUAGGAAUCAGCCUGGUAGUGGGGGAUAACGUACGGAAACGGGCGCUAAUACCGCAUACUAUCAGAUGAGCCUAGGCUGGAUGAGCUAGCUGGUGGGGUAAAGGCCUACCAAGGGGACGAUCCGUAACUGGUCUGAUAGGCUGAUCGGUCACACAGGAACUGAGACACGGUCCAGACUCCUACGGGAGGCAGCAGUGGGGAUGAUUGGACAAUGGGCGUAAGCCUGAUCCAGCCAUGCCGCGUGUGUGAAGAAGGUCUUCGGGUUGUAAAGCAUUUUAAGUUGGGAGGCGUUACCAACAGAAUAAUCACCGGCUAACUUCGUGCCAGCAGCCGCGGUAAUAC